rnacentral:rRNA from 1 species
UACGGAGGGGGCUAGCGUUGUUCGGAAUUACUGGGCGUAAAGCGUGCGUAGGCGGUUCGUUAUGUCUGCUGUGAAAUCCCCGGGCUCAACCUGGGAAUGGCAGUGGAAACUGGCGGGCUUGAGUGUGGCAGAGGGGGGUGGAAUUCCGCGUGUAGCAGUGAAAUGCGCAGAUAUCAGGAGGAACACCAAUGGCGAAGGCAGCUCGCUGGGACGGUACUGACGCUGAGACGCGAAAGCGUGGGGAGCAAACAGG